UACAAAUCUGAAAUCAUAAAUUAUGCCAAAAUUGUAGUAAAAAAAUAUCACAACCGCAAACCACCUUUAACCCACCAUCAUCUAACCGUUAUCUAAAACCUCGUAAUAUACAACAUGUUAACACUAAAUCCAUCAUUGUCCAUAGAGUCCAUUCUUACGCAAACAAAUAAUAAAAUGCAAUGAGAAUAUUUUAUAAAGUAAAGACAUUAAGAUCUGAUGCAAAUAUUUAAAUUACCAAC
rnacentral:lncRNA from 1 species